rnacentral:rRNA from 1 species
CACGUAGGGAGCAAGCGUUGUUCGGAUUUACUGGGCGUAAAGGGCGCGUAGGCGGUCGUGACAAGUCACUUGUGAAAUCUCCGGGCUUAACUCGGAAAGGUCAAGUGAUACUGUCGGACUAGAGUACAGAAGGGGCAACUGGAAUUCUCGGUGUAGCGGUGAAAUGCGUAGAUAUCGAGAGGAACACCUGCGGCGAAGGCGGGUUGCUGGGCUGAUACUGACGCUGAGGCGCGAAAGCUAGGGGAGCGAACGGG